GAAUUUGGUUAAGAAUUGGAUUAAAGAUCAUAAUUCUAUCGUUUAUUUGGAUUAUGUGAGGAUUUGGUGGAUUUCUGCAUUCUGGGAAGUUUUGGAGAAAAGUGAAAUAGUUGGAUCAGUCCGGUUGAUAUCGAGAAAAGGGGAUUCAAUUGGUUGAUGGUUGUGGAGUACAGUCACAACGAAAUUGGUUUCCAAGUUGGGAAUGAAGAAAUGGUAAGAUGUUGGUCUCUGCCAAACCACCGGUUUUGGUGUGGUGAUUGUAUUUUAAAACUCUAGUGGAUUGUUACUGAAUGAAAUACAUUUUGGAAGGUCACUUGAUUGAUUAAUGCUUGAUUUAGUCGUCAAGCUUGAUGAGAACUUGGCUCUACUGUGUAUAAGAGUGAACUGGCAAUUUGUAUGGACA